rnacentral:lncRNA from 1 species
CUUAUCUAAUACUGUCAACUAUCAGUGGACUACUCUGCACCCCAAACAAGAUACUGUAUUUCUCUUAACUCUCUCAGACCCUUCACCCAGGUCAGGAGAUAACCACAGCCCACUAUCACUGAACUUUGAUUCACAAAGAAGCUCCAAGCCCCAAGGCAGGAUCCAUGUGAACACACAGCACCUCCACAGAUCCCACCACUGACACCAAUGGACGCCAGGAACAGCCCUGUUCCACCAAAUUGGGAAAAUUAGAAAAGCUCUUUAUUAAAAGUAUCUAGAUCUGCCCUAGGCCACAGAGUCCCAGGGAGAGGGUCCGCCGUAAAGCCACAGGUCUCCAGGACACUGCGAUUGAAACCAUGUGAGAUGGAGCAACCUCUGGAAUCAGCUUUCCAUAUGAGCUAACCCCCCCCCCCGAAACCUUAGAUGACAAAAAUCUGGAGUGAAUGGAGAGUCCCAGUGCCCUGCCCCGAGCACAACUAAAGAUAUAAACUAAAAUGAUUUUCAUUCACAUAUACAUGGCUAGCAUG